rnacentral:rRNA from 1 species
GUCGAGCGAGAAAGCUCCUUCGGGAGCAAGUAAAGCGGCGGACGGGUGAGUAACACGUAAGAAUUUGCCCUUCAGUGAAGAAUACCCCCGAGAAAUCGGGGCUAAUGCUGCAUACGUCCCUUCGGGGAGAAAGAUGGCCUCUUGCUGUCGCUGAAGGAUAAGCUUGCGGACUAUUAGCUUGUUGGUGGGGUAAAGGCCUACCAAGGCGAUGAUGGUUAGCCGGCCUGAGAGGGUGUACGGCCACAUUGGAACUGAGACACGGUCCAGACUCCUACGGGAGGCAGCAGUGGGGAAUAUUGCGCAAUGGGCGAAAGCCUGACGCAGCGACGCCGCGUGGAGGAUGAAGGUUUUCGGAUCGUAAACUCCUGUUAAGUGGGAAGAAAGACUCAUCCUUAAUACGGAUGAGGAAUGACGGUACCAUUAGAGUAAGCACCGGCUAACUUCGUGCCAGCAGCCGCGGUAAUACGAGGGGUGCAAGCGUUAUUCGGAUUUAUUGGGCGUAAAGGGUACGCAGGCGGCACAUUAAGUCAGUCGUAAAAUAUUCCGGCCCAACCGGAAGCUCGCGGCAGAUACUGAUGUGCUUGAGGAUGAGAGAGAGAAGUGGAAUUCCCGGAGUAGCGGUAAAAUGUGUGGAUCUCGGGAGGAACACCAAUGGCGAAGGCAGCUUCUUGGCUCAUUCCUGACGCUCAGGUACGAAAGCGUGGGGGAGCAAACAGGAUUAGAUACCCUGGUAGUCCACGCUGUAAACGAUGAUCACUAGACGUCAGCUUCGUUUU